UCUCUCUCUCUCUCUCUCCCCCCACACACGACGCACCACCACCCCCACACAACAAACGCCCCCCCAACCCCAACCUUUUAACUCUUUUUAUUAAGCUCGUUGUCCUCCUUUUUUCUGCAAAACAUAGUUUCCAGAGGUUUUGAAGCAGCAGAUCAAUGUUUCAAAGUUGAAUUCACAUUCAUUUUCAGUCUUGUACUACAAUGAAAAUGAAACACUAGAUAUACAAAGCUUUAAAGACAAUGUGGAUCUAGAAAUUUCGACAAACUUGGCUACUCGAUUCUGUUGGAGAAAGCUGGUACAGAAUAAUAUGGAUGUCACAAGACUGGAAGGACAGCUACUCAUAGAUGAGAGCAAACAUUGGUUGGUUUCUGGGAACAAAGUGUCAGACACCUCACAGAAUAGACCACUACUGUAUUGGGGUUUGCUUGAUAUGGAGAAGCUUCUCACCAUAUUGUCAAAGAUGGGGAUUAGUGGAUCUAUAGAACAAGGCUUGAAUGAUGCUGAAUCAGAUAGUGUCGGGAUCAUACAAAUACAUGGUCCAAACAAAGCAUUGAUAGAAGUUAGAGCAACAAGAACUGUUAUCACUGCUCCUGAUGAGAAUUUAGCUGCACUCAUUUUUGAAGCUAUUAGUACUCUUUUGGAUGGCAUUUAGAAGGGCAUUCACAUAAGCUGAAGUAGCUGAAGCUUGGAUUGCCUGUGGUCCACAAUGUUAUGCUAGUUCUAGUUGAAUUCUAAUUUCUAGGCCAAUCCAAACAAGGCUUCUAUACGAAAAAAAAAAAGCUUCAGUGUGCUCUUAAUUCUUAUUCUUUAUAAUGGGCAGCUGAUCAUUUUUUUCCCCAGGUGAUGAACUGCAUUGAUAUAUUCAGUCACAGGCUUUGCAGUUUAUGAUUAACCACAUAGAUGUAGCAAUAACUAAAUCUGUUAUCUUGGCCCAAGUUGGAAACUCAUGAAGCACUUGUAAAUUCUUCCUUUUACUGGUUUCCUAUCUUCUGAUUUGUUUUGUAUGUAAGCUAAACUUCAGAUAUUGUUUUCUUUUUAUAUAAAGCAAAUUAUUUAGUAUUUAC
rnacentral:misc_RNA from 1 species